rnacentral:rRNA from 1 species
AUUGAACGCUGGCGGCAGGCCUAACACAUGCAAGUCGAGCGAGCGGCGGACGGGUGAGUAAUGUAUGGGGACUGCCCGAUAGAGGGGGAUAACUACUGGAAACGGUAGCUAAUACCGCAUACUAUCGGAUAACCCAUAUGGGAUUAGCUAGUAGGUGAGGUAAUGUCUCACCUGGGCGACGAUCCCUAGCUGGGCUGAGAGGAUGAUCAGCCAAACUGGUACGGAGACACGGCCCGGACGCCUACGGAGGCAGCAGUGGGGAAUAUUGCACAAUGGGCGGAAGCCUGAGGCAGCCAUGCCGCGUGUAGGAAGAAGGCCGUAGGGUUGUAAAGUACUUUCAGUCGGGAGGCGUUACCGACAGAAGAAGCACCGGCUAACUACGUGCCAGCAGCCGCGGUAAUUC